rnacentral:lncRNA from 1 species
CGCCGUUUUUUAAGCCCGUCGGAAAAGCGCAGUAUUCGGGUGGGAGUGACCCGAUUUUCCAGGUGCCGUCUGUCACCCCUUUCUUUGACUUGGAAAGGGAACUCCCUGACCCCUCGCGCUUCCCAGGUGAGGCAAUGCCUCGCCCUGCUUCGGCUCGUCCACGAUGCGCGCACCCACUGGCCUGCGCCCACUGUCUGGCACUCCCUAGUGAGAGAAACCCGGUACCUCAGAUGGAAAUGCAGAAAUCACCCGUCUUCUGCGUCGCUCACGCUGGGAGCUGUAGACCGGAGCUGUUCCUAUUCGGCCAUCUUGGCUCUCCCUUAGUCAUUAGGCUUUGAAAGUUGUCAGAUUCAAAAUGGAGUCACUUGUAUCAGACCUUGGCAGAUGGAGCUGGGGAAAGCCGUGAAGUGGGGAGUGUCAUGCACCAUUUGCCUGAUAACAGGAGCUAUCACAAGGGAUUUUCCCAAAUCGCAGCUCACUACAUGAGUCACAGGAGGACAGCCAGCCGCUUAGACAAGAACACUUGCAUGACACAGUGUCUCACAGGCGCAGUGCAAAACUACAAAGCCCUAACCCUAACACUAGGAUAACGGGCCCACCCAGUGACUGCUCACUCUGGCCAGUCAGCACUUGCCAGCCCUUAGAAAUCACUGCCAGAGCCAACGAACUUUCUUUCCAAACAAUCUGGGUGACCUCCUCUUUCCCAAAUAAACCCUAACCUUUUCCUUUGUCCUCUGCACCUACCAGAGACCACCCUGAUCUGUAUGGAUGUCCUGGAUUGUAAUCCUACUUCUUGUAUAUUGUUC